rnacentral:sRNA from 1 species
AGUAUCUGUGCUUGCCUGGACGAGACUCAGGUGUUAAUCAGAUGAAACUGCUCCUCCUCGGGUUGUCCCUCGCGGGCCGGGCGUCCCCUCAGCCACCCAUGGGGCACCCUUCGCCUCCCUCGGGGGAUGGGGGAUCGGCUUGCGUCCGGACCUCGGAAAGUGUCUGCCUUCUGCCUUUCCGAGCAAAAGGCCCUCUGUCUGACUCGUCGUUUCCUUAGCGAGGACGGGCUGCAGCCUGCUGCCGGGGGAUCCAGCUUUUUACUUGAGAGGGCAGGAUUCCCCUACUGGGGCUCCUCUCCCCCUCCUUUCUGGGAACCCCCACCCCGGUAGAGCGUCCCGAGGCUGUGAGUGAUAGUUGCUUCAGGAAUCUUGCAGAAGACCGCAGUGGGAUAAAUCUCAAAGAUCUCGUACAAGAUCCUUCUUUGUUGGGUGGGACUAUAUCAGCAUACAAGAUAGUACCAGACGAAAUAGAAGAAAUCAAGGAAACCCUGAUAGAUUGGUGUGAUGAAAAGGAACUUAAUUUGAUAUUAACAACUGGAGGAACAGGAUUUGCACCGCGAGAU